UACGUAGGGGGCAAGCGUUGUCCGGAUUUAUUGGGCGUAAAGAGCUCGUAGGCGGUUCGUCGCGUCGAAUGUGAAAACCCGGGGCUCAACUCCGGGCCUGCAUUCGAUACGGGCGGACUAGAGUUCGGUAGGGGAGACUGGAAUUCCUGGUGUAGCGGUGAAAUGCGCAGAUAUCAGGAGGAACACCGGUGGCGAAGGCGGGUCUCUGGGCCGAUACUGACGCUGAGGAGCGAAAGCGUGGGGAGCGAACAGG
rnacentral:rRNA from 1 species